rfam:Homo sapiens chromosome 17, GRCh38 reference primary assembly.
GCUGGGUGUGGUGGUGCACACCUGUAAUCCCAGCUACUUGGGAGGCUGAGACAGGAGAAUCACUUGAUCCUGGGAGACAAGGGCUGCAGUGAGCCGAGAUCAUGCCACUGCACUUCGGCCUGGGUGACAGAGUGAGACUCCAUCUCAA